UCCGGUUUGUCACCGGCAGUCUCAUUAGAGUGCCCUUUCGUAGCAACUAAUGACAAGGGUUGCGCUCGUUGCGGGACUUAACCCAACAUCUCACGACACGAGCUGACGACAGCCAUGCAGCACCUGUGUUACAGCUUUCUUUCGAACACUCCCAAAUCUCUUCGGGAUUCUGUACAUGUCAAGGGUAGGUAAGGUUUUUCGCGUUGCAUCGAAUUAAUCCACAUCAUCCACCGCUUGUGCGGGUCCCCGUCAAUUCCUUUGAGUUUUAAUCUUGCGACCGUACUCCCCAGGCGGUCUACUUCACGCGUUAGCUGCGUUACCAAGUCAAUUAAGACCCGACAACUAGUAGACAUCGUUUAGGGCGUGGACUAC
rnacentral:misc_RNA from 1 species